rnacentral:rRNA from 1 species
AGAACUUAGCAGAGAUGCUUUGGUGCCUUCGGGGAACUCUGAGACAGGUGCUGCAUGGCUGUCGUCAGCUCGUGUUGUGAAAUGUUGGGUUAAGUCCCGCAACGAGCGCAACCCUUAUCCUUUGUUGCCAGCGGUUAGGCCGGGAACUCAAAGGAGACUGCCAGUGAUAAACUGGAGGAAGGUGGGGAUGACGUCAAGUCAUCAUGGCCCUUACGAGUAGGGCUACACACGUGCUACAAUGGCGCAUACAAAGAGAAGCGACCUCGCGAGAGCAAGCGGACCUCAUAAAGUGCGUCGUAGUCCGGAUUGGAGUCUGCAACUCGACUCCAUGAAGUCGGAAUCGCUAGUAAUCGUGGAUCAGAAUGCCACGGUGAAUACGUUCCCGGGCCUUGUACACACCGCCCGUCACACCAUGGGAGUGGGUUGCAAAAGAAGUAGGUAGCUUAACCUUCGGGAGGGCGCUUACCACUUUGUGAUUCAUGACUGGGGUGAAGUCGUAACAAGGUAGGCGUAGUGCU